GCGAUGGACAAUCGGUUAAUAUUCCGAUACCGCCGAGCAACCGGAUGCAGUGACACAGAAGGAUAGGCAGAGCGUGGCGAUGGUAGACCACGUCCAAGCAGUGAGGCUGUUGUGUAGUGAAGUACGCACAACGGAAGGCUGGGCUGUGAUGGGGAACGAUUACGAUCGGUAAGCUGCUGAAUUCACGCUGGCGAGAAAAGCUGCUACGAAGCGAAGGCGCCCGUACCGCAAACCGACACAGGUAGGCGAGGAGAGAAUCCUAAGACGAGCGGGAGAACCCUUGUUAAGGAACUCGGCAAAAUGACUCCGUAACUUAGGGAGAAGGAGUGCCCAGGAAUGGGCCGCAGAGAAUAGACCCAAGCGACUGUUUACCAAAAACACAGGUCUGUGCGAAGUAGAGAUACGACGUAUACGGGCUGACACCUGCCCAGUGCCGGAAGGUUAAGGGGAAAUGUUAGGGCAACCGAAGCAUGGAACUUAAGCCCCGGUGAACGGCGGCCGUAACUAUAACGGUCCUAAGGUAGCGAAAUUCCUUGUCGGGUAAGUUCCGACCCGCACGAAUGGUGUAACGAUUUGGGUACUGUCUCAACAAGGGACCCGGCGAAAUUGUAGUAUGUGUGAAGAUGCACAUUACCCGCGAUAGGACGGAAAGACCCCGUAGAGCUUUACUGUAGUUUAACAUUGGAUUCCGGUAACAUAUGCACAGGAUAGGUGGGAGGCGGAGAAGCAGUGAUUUCGGUUGCUGCAGAGCCGACGUUGGGAUACCACUCUUGUGUUACUGGGGUUCUAACCUGUGGCCGUGAUCCGGCACAGGAACAGUGUUAGAUGGGCAGUUUGACUGGGGCGGUCGCCUCCAAAAGAGUAACGGAGGCGUCCAAAGGUUCCCUCAGAAUGGUUGGAAACCAUUCGAAGAGUACAAAGGCAGAAGGGAGCCUGACUGCGAGACCGACAGGUCGAGCAGGGACGAAAGUCGGGCUUAGUGAUCCGGCGGUAUAGAGUGGAAUUGCCGUCGCUCAACGGAUAAAAGCUACCUCGGG
rnacentral:rRNA from 1 species